rnacentral:rRNA from 1 species
UGAUCAUGGCUCAGAUUGAACGCUGGCGGCAGGCCUAACACAUGCAAGUCGAGCGGUAACAGAAAGUAGCUUGCUACUUUGCUGACGAGCGGCGGACGGGUGAGUAAUGCUUGGGAACAUGCCUUGAGGUGGGGGACAACAGUUGGAAACGACUGCUAAUACCGCAUAAUGUCUACGGACCAAAGGGGGCUUCGGCUCUCGCCUUUAGAUUGGCCCAAGUGGGAUUAGCUAGUUGGUGAGGUAAUGGCUCACCAAGGCGACGAUCAGUAGCUGGUCUGAGAGGAUGAUCAGCCACAUUGGGACUGAGACACGGCCCAAACUCCUACGGGAGGCAGCAGUGGGGAAUAUUGCGCAAUGGGCGAAAGCCUGACGCAGCCAUGCCGCGUGUGUGAAGAAGGCCUUAGGGU